CUAAGAAAACGGCGAAAGCUUGUUCGAAUUUGCGACAUGAAUUGUAAGACUGUGUGUUUAUUGUGUGUGCAGUUGUCGUAUGUUUUCGAAAGGGAAUCCGGUUGAUAUUCCGGAACCGAGUAACGGAGACAAAGAGUAGCGCUUUAAUCUCUCUGUGGGGUUGGCGUUCAACUCAAUCGCGCGGUAACGCAAGCGAACUCGGAAAAUGACCGUCGUGAGUUUCGAAAAGAGUUUUCUUUUCUUUUUAAGGGACGCAUUCCCUGGAACCGGGUUGUCCGGAGAUAGGGAUUCUGGUAUCCAUAAAACGCCGA
rnacentral:rRNA from 1 species